rnacentral:rRNA from 1 species
AGCUACCACUUACAGAUGGACCCGCGGCGCAUUAGCUAGUUGGUGAGGUAACGGCUCACCAAGGCGACGAUUCGUAGCCGACCUGAGAGGGUGAUCGGCCACACUGGGACUGAGACACGGCCCAUAUCUCUACGGGAGGCAGCAGUAGGGAAUCUYCCGCAAUGGACGAAAGUCUGACGGAGCAACGCCGCGUGAGUGAUGAAGGUUUKCGGAUCGUAAAACUCUGUUGUUAGGGAAGAAUAAGUACCGUGCGAAUAGGGCGGCACCUUGACGGUACCUAACCAGAAAGCCACGGCUAACUACGUGCCAGCAGCCGCGGUAAUACGUAGGUGGCAAGCGUUGUCCGGAAUUAUUGGGCGUAAAGCGCGCGCAGGCGGUYUCYUAAGUCUGAUGUGAAAGCCCCCGGCUCAACCGGGGAGGGUCAUUGGAAACUGGGGAACUUGAGUGCAGAAGAGGAGAGUGGAAUUCCACGUGUAGCGGUGAAAUGCGUAGAGAUGUGGAGGAACACCAGUGGCGAAGGCGACUCUCUGGUCUGUAACUGACGCUGAGGCGCGAAAGCGUGGGGAGCGAACAGGAUKAGAUACCCUGGAGUCCACGCCGAAACGAUGAGUGCUAAGUGUAAGAGGGAACCGCCCCMCAGUGCUGCAGCAAACGCAUUAAGCACCCGCCUGGG